GUUGUAUGGUUAAGUGACAAAGCGUACAAGGUGGAUGCCUUGGCAAUCAGAGGCGAAGAAGGACGUGCUAAUCUGCGAAAAGCUUGGAUGAGUCGAUAAGAGGCGUUUAAUCCAAGAUGUCCGAAUGGGGAAACCCAGUGGGUGAAGAACCCACUAUCAUUAUCUGAAUCCAUAGGAUAAUGAGGCGAACCGGGAGAACUGAAACAUCUAAGUACCCCGAGGAAAAGAAAUCAACCGAGAUUUCGUUAGUAGCGGCGAGCGAACGCGAAGGAGCCUGUUAGUGAUAAUGACAGAGACAGAGGAACAAGCUGGGAAGCUUGGCGACACAGGGUGAUAGCCCCGUACUCGAAGUCCAGGUUAUGGUACUAAGCUAACGACAAGUAAGGCGGGACACGUGAUAUCCUGUUUGAAGAUGGGGGGACCAUCCUCCAAGGCUAAAUACUCCUGAUUGACCGAUAGUGAACCAGUACUGUGAAGGAAAGGCGAAAAGAACCCCGGUGAGGGGAGUGAAAUAGAACCUGAAACCUUGUACGUACAAGCAGUGGGAGCCUGAAAGGGUGACUGCGUACCUUUUGUAUAAUGGGUCAGCGACUUAUAUUUUGUAGCGAGGUUAACCGAAUAGGGGAGCCGAAGGGAAACCGAGUCUUAACUGGGCGAGUAGUUGCAAGGUAUAGACCCGAAACCCGGUGAUCUAGCCAUGGGCAGGUUGAAGGUUGGGUAACACUAACUGGAGGACCGAACCGACUAAUGUUGAAAAAUUAGCGGAUGACUUGUGGCUGGGGGUGAAAGGCCAAUCAAACCGGGAGAUAGCUGGUUCUCCCCGAAAUCUAUUUAGGUAGAGCCUUGAGUGGACACCUUCGGGGGUAGAGCACUGUUUCGGCUAGGGGUCCAUCCCGGAUUACCAACCCGAUGCAAACUGCGAAUACCGAAGAGUGAUACUCAGGAGACACACGGCGGGUGCUAACGUUCGUCGUGGAGAGGGAAACAACCCAGACCGCCAGCUAAGGUCCCAAAGUCUAUAUUAAGUGGGAAACGAAGUGGGAAGGCUUAGACAGCUAGGAUGUUGGCUUAGAAGCAGCCAUCAUUUAAAGAAAGCGUAAUAGCUCACUAGUCGAGUCGGCCUGCGCGGAAGAUGUAACGGGGCUCAAAUAUAGCACCGAAGCUGCGGCAUCAGUAGCAAUACUGUUGGGUAGGGGAGCGUUGUGUAAGCGGAAGAAGGUGGCUCGAGAGGGCUGCUGGACGUAUCACAAGUGCGAAUGCUGACAUAAGUAACGAUAAAACGGGUGAAAAACCCGUUCGCCGGAAGACCAAGGGUUCCUGUCCAACGUUAAUCGGGGCAGGGUGAGUCGGCCCCUAAGGCGAGGCUGAAAAGCGUAGUCGAUGGGAAACGGGUUAAUAUUCCCGUACUUGGAUAAACUGCGAUGUGGGGACGGAGCAGGUUAGGUUAGCGUGCUGUUGGAUAUGCACGUUUAAGUUGGUAGGUGGGGAGUUUAGGCAAAUCCGGACUUCCUUAACACUGAGAGAUGAUGACGAGGCUCUACGGAGCUGAAGUAACCGAUACCACACUUCCAGGAAAAGCCACUAAGCUUCAGGUUUAUCUAAACCGUACUGAAAACCGACACAGGUGGUCAGGUAGAGAAUACUCAGGCGCUUGAGAGAACUCGGGUGAAGGAACUAGGCAAAAUAGCACCGUAACUUCGGGAGAAGGUGCGCCGGCGUAGAUUGUAAGGGUUUACCCCUGAAGGUUGAACCGGUCGAAGUGACCCGCUGGCUGCAACUGUUUAUUAAAAACACAGCACUCUGCAAACACGAAAGUGGACGUAUAGGGUGUGAUGCCUGCCCGGUGCUGGAAGGUUAAUUGAUGGUGUAAUCGCAAGAGAAGCACCUGAUCGAAGCCCCAGUAAACGGCGGCCGUAACUAUAACGGUCCUAAGGUAGCGAAAUUCCUUGUCGGGUAAGUUCCGACCUGCACGAAUGGCAUAAUGAUGGCCAGGCUGUCUCCACCCGAGACUCAGUGAAAUUGAAAUCGCCGUGAAGAUGCGGUGUACCCGCGGCUAGACGGAAAGACCCCGUGAACCUUUACUAUAGCUUGACACUGAACAUUGAAUUUUGAUGUGUAGGAUAGGUGGGAGACUAUGAAGAUGAUACGCCAGUAUUGUUGGAGUCGACCUUGAAAUACCACCCUUUAACGUUUGAUGUUCUAACGAAGAUGACGAAACGUGGUCUCGGACAGUGUCUGGUGGGUAGUUUGACUGGGGCGGUCUCCUCCCAAAGAGUAACGGAGGAGCACGAAGGUUUGCUAAUGACGGUCGGACAUCGUCAGGUUAGUGCAAUGGUAUAAGCAAGCUUAACUGCGAGACGGACAAGUCGAGCAGGUACGAAAGUAGGUCAUAGUGAUCCGGUGGUUCUGCAUGGAAGGGCCAUCGCUCAACGGAUAAAAGGUACUCCGGGGAUAACAGGCUGAUACCGCCCAAGAGUUCAUAUCGACGGCGGUGUUUGGCACCUCGAUGUCGGCUCAUCACAUCCUGGGGCUGAAGUAGGUCCCAAGGGUAUGGCUGUUCGCCAUUUAAAGUGGUACGCGAGCUGGGUUUAGAACGUCGUGAGACAGUUCGGUCCCUAUCUGCCGUGGGCGUUGGAGAAUUGGUUGGGGCUGCUCCUAGUACGAGAGGACCGGAGUGGACGCACCGCUGGUGUUCCGGUUGUGUCGCCAGACGCAUUGCCGGGUAGCUAAGUGCGGAAGAGAUAAGUGCUGAAAGCAUCUAAGCACGAAACUUGCCAAGAGAUGAGUUCUCCCAGAUUAUAAAUCUGUAAGGGUUGUUUAAGACUAAGACGUAGAUAGGCAUGGUGUGUAAGUGGUGCGAGCCAUUGAGCUAACAUGUACUAAUUGCCCGAGAGGCUUAGCCAUACAACGCUCAAG
rnacentral:rRNA from 1 species